GGAAACGGAAAUGCUGGGGGGGGUGCUGAGGAAGGAGUCGUGGGGUGGCUCACUGCCUCCAGUGUGAAGUUUUCUCCGCGGUGGGCUGGGUUCACGUGACAAGUUAUCUCUGGAGUUCAAGUGUGAGUUGAAACCAGCCUCAAGUUUCACCUGUCCUCACUGACCCGUGGAUUUCUGUGUGACCAGGUGGCUUUGGAAGAACUACCAAUACGUCCUGGUAUUUCUCUUUGCCAUUGAGGAAAUCAAUAAGGACUCCCAUCUGCUCCCCAAUCUGUCCUUGGGUUUCAACCUCUACAGUGCCUUUCCCAGUGAUCAAAGGACCUUGGAAAGUGCCCUGUUUUGGCUCUCUGGAGGAAAUCAGACUCUCCCUAACUACAACUGCCAGGGACAGAGAAAAUCUGUGGCCAUUGUUACAGGAACCGCGUUGGCAUUUUCAGCCGAGAUUGGAACAGUUCUGGAGCUCUACAGAAGCCCACAGGUCACGUAUGGUCCUUUUGAUCCCAUCCUGAGUGAUAAAGACCAGUUCCCAUCGCUCUAUCAGAUGGCCACCACAGACAGCUCCCUGGCUCAAGGAAUGAUCUGGUUAUUGCUGCAUUUCGGCUGGACCUGGGUGGCGCUAUUUGUAUCUGAUGAUUUGAAAGGCGAGCAGUUCCUCUGGUAUCUGAAAGCAGAGAUGGUAAAGAAAGGUAUCUCUGUGGCCUUUACAGAAAAUCUCCCUGCUACUAAGAAAAUGUAUGGACUGAGUGAUGUGACUUUCAUGUCCAGAAUCAGAGUCUCAGCUGCAAAUGUGCAUAUAAUGUGUGGUGAUACAGGGAGCCUUAUGACCCUAGGCAUGACAGGAGAAUUUUAUUUAACCUCAGGGAACGUGUGGAUCAUGGCAGCAAAGUGGGACAUCGUUACGUACGAGACAGACCGCAUGCUUCACUCUUUCCUUGGGAGCCUCUCAUUUUCACAACAGAAGAGGGAAAUCCCUGGUUUUCAAAACUUUCUCAGGACAGUUAACCCCUUCAAAUACCCAAGAAGACUUUUACUUCAGUAGAUUCUGGUUUGACAUAUUUGAUUGUUCACUUGCUGGGUCUCAUUGUGGAAAACUCAGAGACUGCCCACCUAGUUCUUCCUUAGAGUUUAUGCCAGUAAAUAUUGACAUGAUGACCAUGUCUGUCACCAGCUAUUUCGUCUAUAGUGCUGUGUAUGCAGUGGCCCAAGGGUUCCAUGAAAUGCUUUUGGUGAAAACGGAAAUGGGAUCUCCAGGACGUAGAGGCCAACCUAUGUUUCUUCCUUGGCAGGUAAAUGCCCUCCAGAAGCAGGGCCUGCAUUGAUCACCUGAUGGCAUCUGGAGGUACUAUACUGAGAUAUAACAUCAUGACCAUGCUUUUGUCUCAAGAUCAACAGAAUCAAACAGAAUGGAUGGAGCUAGUUAUAGGCAUGUCUGCAGUCGUUACAGCUAUUUGCAGAUUUCUGCCAUUGGGAGCUUCAAAUACAAAUUAUUUAAUUAGAAAGUGUAUCAGGGAACUUCCCUGGCGGUCCAGUGGUUAAGACUCUGGCCUCCCAAUGCUGGGGGCACGGGUUCAAUCCCUGGUCAGGGAACUAAGCUCCACAUGCCUCAUGGCAUGGUCAAAAAAGAAAACAAAAAAAUAAUAAUAAUAACAACAAUAGAGGCUGCCUCUAUCUGGUGCUAGUCCAUAAAAUAAAAUAAAUUAAAAAAAAAUUGUAUCAAAAAUGUAUUUUCUAAUGUAGGAUGAAAUACUGUAAAAUAUCCAGAGAC